GGACCCCUAGCUCAGUGGUAGAGCGUAAGAUUCCAGCUUAGUAUUGCGUAUUCAUAUGUAAUAAGCGCUUCCUUAAGGUCAUCCGUUCGAUCCGGGUGGGGUUCA